AGAGUUUGAUCAUGGCUCAGAAUCAACGCUGGCGGCGCGCCUAACACAUGCAAGUCGAACGAGAAAGCAGGAGCAAUCUUGUGAGUAAAGUGGCGUACGGGUGAGUAACACGUGGAUCAUCUACCCUCUUGUGGGGGAUAACCCUGGGAAACCGGAGCUAAUACCGCAUAAGCUCGAGAGAGGAAAGCAGCAAUGCGCAGGAGGAGGAGUCCGCGGCCGAUUAGCUAGUUGGUAGGGUAAAAGCCUACCAAGGCAACGAUCGGUAGCCGGCCUGAGAGGGCACACGGCCACACUGGCACUGAAACACGGGCCAGACUCCUACGGGAGGCAGCAGUGGGGAAUCUUGCACAAUGGGGGCAACCCUGAUGCAGCGACGCCGCGUGAGCGAUGAAGCCCUUCGGGGUGUAAAGCUCUUUCGGCAGGGAAGAUUAUGACGGUACCUGCAGAAGCAGCUGCGGCUAACUACGUGCCAGCAGCCGCGGUA
rnacentral:rRNA from 1 species